rnacentral:lncRNA from 1 species
CAGGAUCAGGGCUGGUAUGAAGGCAUCUCCAUUAGCAGGGGACCAGACACCUUCCAUCUGACUGCUCUGCUAUCCUUGGCAUGCUGCCUCAUGGUCCAAAGUGGCUGCUGAGCACCAGCCCUCGUGUCUGCAUUCUAGCCAGCAGGAAGGAGAAAAGGAAAGGGGGCUGGCCGAAAGGCAAGAAGAGAAACCCCCCGAGGGACCUUGCUGUUCCGUGUUCCUACGACAGGGUACAUGAUAUUCCUGAACAAGCAGAGAAGUCAGCUGAGGGCCACACACCCCGAUCUGCCUUUCACAGAAAUCAUGAAGAUGCUGGCUGUUCAGUGGGCCCAGCUGUCUCAGGAUAAAAAGGGGGAGAUGAACUCAAUGACCUCUACUGCGGGACCUCCAGGCAGCUCUUCAGCUCCCUGCGCAACAAGAAGGAACCUGCUGCAAAGGCAGCACCUGCAGCCCCUCUCAGAUCGCCAGGCCCGCCUGCUCUGGGCCACACAGGACACGGACGUCAGCUUCUCCUGGAGCGCUCGCUCACUUUAUUCCAUCUCUACGAGCUCCUCAAGUAUCCCAGAGCAUCCCCAGGCCUGUGGCCACCUCGGGUCUGGAUGCCGCAUUCUCUGACAUGUGGUACAUUCUGGGUGCCCAUGAUUAUGUUGAGGUUCUGUGCCCAUGUGGCCUCAGGGCUCUUGAGACCACCCUUCAACCAGGUCUUUGCUCACCUGUCUCCUGCCCAGGGACGCCACCCAGGUCACCGGUGCAAACCUCCAGCCCCUGCCCGUUUCUCUCCAUGAUUGCAUCGCCACCUCGCAGUCUCUUCCACUUGCUCAUUCCUGGUGUUAUUGCCUGUCUCCCACUGGAAGAGAAGGCCCUCGAGUUCAGCAAUUGUUUUGCCUGUUUUGUUCACUGUGGUGAACCCCGGGCCUAGAACCAUGCCUGGCACUCCCAGUAGGUGCUCAAUAAGUAUCCAAUGAGUGGACGAAUGAAUGAAUGUGUUCAACAAAUGACCCUAGAGCAUGUAUUCCUUCCAGGGACAGAGCGAGGUACUAGGGACACAGGAAGGACGGGGCAGAGCUCCGUGCUGACGAAACCAAGGGCCAAGCGUGUGAGUGAAUACGAACAUCCUGGCAUUAAAACGUCUUGCAUUCUAGUGAAAUGAGACCCAUUGGACACAGAGAAGCCCCACCACAAUUGCAUCUGUGUAAAAUCGAGAGAAAGAUCGUGAAAACAGCCAUGGCAGGUGCUGGACUAAGGGGUGACAUUGGGUUUUCUCUUCCCACCUAUCCUUUAGGGUUGUUAAAACAGAAAUAGAUCUCACGUAGGCCCCUGCUCUGCACCCUGCUUGCUGAGUCACGCAGGGCCAGUUACGCAGCUACCGUGUGCUUACCCGGCCUCAUCUGUAAAAUAAGGAUGACACUGCCUGCCUGGCAGGGCUCUCCUGAGAAUACACAGUGCCUCGUGCAGGGCCCAGUGCAGCAGACAGGUCACCUCCUCCAGGAAGACUUUCCUGACCUAGGCUUGGGGUUGGGCCUCCCCAGGGCUCCUAAGGCUUCCCCACAUACCCUUCACUUUGCAAUGACCAUCCCCUGUUACUGUCCCACAACACACAUUACACACAACACCAUACAAACACAUGCAUUCUACACACACACAACAUACACAUGCACUACAUAUAACACACAUUAUACACAUUACAAACACAACACAUACCCCACACUUCACACUCAUAUACACACAUACACCACCCACAUACACUCCAAACACUCCACACACAUACAAACACAUACUACAUACAACACACUCAUACCACACACAUGCACACACGGGUCUGGAGGGCGGUGCUGUGUGGGCCUCCGGGCGCAUCCCUGAUCCAUAGCAGAUACUGAAUAUUUGCUGAAGGAAUAUCCAGGAGACUCGUGCUACAUCUGGUGUUUGAAAGGAAAUGAACUGUUCUUGGUAAUGUCUUGUUUAGGGUGAAUAAUGGCACUGAAGACAGAAAAUGCAUCUUAUCACCUGCUCUGGAGCAAAACGUGUGCUUGGAUGCGUAGAGUUAUUCUGUGUAAAUUACCCACCAGAGAGAAUUCAGGCG